AUACUUACCUGGCAAGGGAGAAACUGUGAUCAAGAAGGCAGUUCACCCAGGGUGAGGCUCAGCCAUUGCACUCCGGCUGUGCUGACCCCUGCGAAUCGAUUGCAUAAUUGUUC
ensembl:snRNA U1 U1 spliceosomal RNA